rnacentral:rRNA from 1 species
UGUCCUACGGGAGGCAGCAGUGGGGAAUAUUGGACAAUGGGGGAAACCCUGAUCCAGCGACGCCGCGUGAGUGAAGAAGUAUUUCGGUACGUAAAGCUCUAUCAGCAGGAAAGAAAAUGACGGUACCUGACUAAGAAGCCCCGGCUAACUACGUGCCAGCAGCCGCGGUAAUACGUAGGGGGCAAGCGUUAUCCGGAUUUACUGGGUGUAAAGGGAGCGUAGACGGUUGUAUAAGUCUGGAGUGAAAGCCCGGGGCCCAACCCCGGGACUGCUUUGGAAACUGU